rnacentral:rRNA from 1 species
GGUGAGAAUAAGCCAUGCGAGUUGAAUGGGAUGCCUAAAGUUCCCAUAGCAAACUGCUCAGUAACACAUGAUCAACUUACCCUAUAGAGAAAAAUAACCUCGGGAAACUGAGGAUAAUGUUUCAUAGUUGAAUUGGCUUGGAAAAGUUUUUCGACGAAAGGGGUAAAAAAAAUGGUUUUUAUCUGCUAUAGGAUAGGAUCGUGUUCGAUUAUGGUUGUUGGUGAGGUAAUGGCUCACCAAGCCGAUAAUCGAUAGGGGCCGUGAGAGCGGGAGCCCCGAGAUGGGUACUGAGACAACGACCCAGGCCUUACGAGGCGCAGCAGGCGCGAAACCUCCGCAAUACACGAAAGUGUGACGGGGUUACCCAAAGUGUUCAAUUUUGAACUGUGGUAGGUGAGUAAUGUUCCCUACUAGAAAGGAGAGGGCAAGGCUGGUGCCAGCCGCCGCGGUAAAACCAGCUCUUCAAGUGGUCGGGAUAAUUAUUGGGCUUAAAGUGUCCGUAGCCGGUUUAGUAAGUUCCUGGUAAAAUCGGGUAGCUUAACUAUCUAUAUGCUAGGAAUACUACUAUACUAGAGGGCGGGAGAGGUCUGAGGUACUACAGGGGUAGGGGUGAAAUCUUAUAAUCCUUGUUGGACCACCAGUGGCGAAGGCGUCAGACUGGAACGCGCCUGACGGUGAGGGACGAAAGCCAGGGGAGCGAACCGGAUUAGAUACCCGGGUAGUCCUGGCCGUAAACGAUGCAUACUAUGUGAUGGCACGGCCAUGAGCCGUGUCAGUGCCGUAGGGAAACCGUUAAGUGUGCCGCCUGGGAAGUACGGUCGCAAGGCUAAAACUU